GAUGAAGAACGUAGCAAAAUGCGAUAAGUAAUGUGAAUUGCAGAAUUCAGUGAAUCAUCGAAUCUUUGAACGCACAUUGCGCCCGCCAGUAUUCUGGCGGGCAUGCCUGUUCGAGCGUCAUUUCAACCCUCAAGCACAGCUUGGUGUUGGGACUCGCGUUAAUUCGCGUUCCCCAAAUUGAUUGGCGGUCACGUCGAGCUUCCAUAGCGUAGUAGUAAAACCCUCGUUACUGGUAAUCGUCGCGCCCACGCCGUUAAACCCCAACUUCUGAAUGUUGACCUCGGAUCAGGUAGGAAUACCCGCUGAACUUAAGCAUAUCAAUAAGCGGAGGA
rnacentral:misc_RNA from 1 species